GAUGAAGAGCGCAGCGAAAUGCGAUAAGUAAUGUGAAUUGCAGAAUUCAGUGAAUCAUCGAAUCUUUGAACGCACAUUGCGCCCAUUAGUAUUCUAGUGGGCAUGCCUGUUCGAGCGUCAUUUCAACCCUUAAGCCUAGCUUAGUAUUGGGAAUCGACUUUACUGUCGUUCCUCAAAUUCAACGGCGGAUUUAUAGCAAUCUCUGAACGUAGUAAUUUUUUUCCUCGUUUUUGAAAUACUAUAAACCUCAGCCGCUAAACCCCCAAUUUUUCUAUGGUUGACCUCGGAUCAGGUAGGAAUACCCGCUGAACUUAAGCAUAUCAAUAAGCGGAGGA
rnacentral:misc_RNA from 1 species